CCUACGGGUGGCAGCAGUGAGGAAUAUUGGUCAAUGGGCGAAAGCCUGACGCAGCGACGCCGCGUGAGGGAUGAAGGUCUUCGGAUCGUAAACCUCUGUCAGCAGGGAAGAACGGUCACUGUGCUAAUCAGCAGUGAAUUGACGGUACCUGCAAAGGAAGCACCGGCUAACUCCGUGCCAGCAGCCGCGGUAAUACGGAGGGUGCGAGCGUUAAUCGGAAUUACUGGGCGUAAAGCGCUCGUAGGCGGUAUGUCAAGUCAAGGGUGAAAUCCCCGCGCUCAACGUGGGAACUGCCUUUGAAACUGGCAAACUGGAGUGUGUGAGAGGAUAGUGGAAUUCCAGGUGUAGGAGUGAAAGCCGUAGAUAUCUGGAGGAACAUCAGUGGCGAAGGCGACUAUCUGGCACAUAACUGACGCUGAGGAGCGAAAGCGUGGGUAGCAAACAGGAUUAGAUACCCUGGUAGUC
rnacentral:rRNA from 1 species